GCUGCUGUAGCUCAGGGGUAGAGCACUUCCUUGGUAAGGAAGAGGUCGCGAGUUCAAUUCUCGCCAGCAGCU
rnacentral:tRNA from 1 species